CACCUCACAUGCCAUCAGCUUCCAGUAUCCAUGACUGAAGCCAAGGAUGAGAAGCUUCUUUCUGCCUGGGAGCUGGCCAGAUGAGCAGCCUCCCGUACCCAUCACGUGUGAUCCUUCUCAUAUCUUCAGCUAUGCAGAUUUGAAGAAGCUUAGAAUGGUAGGAGAUGGCCAUUAAAGAGAGCUGAUAAAGAUUCCAAAAGAAAUAAAUGCUGACCAGGAGAGAGAAGAUAUAUGGAUUAUUCAGACAAGACCGAUAUCUCCAAAUGAAAAAGGUUUAAUGAAAUUUGGUCUUGACCAAUUCAGGAACUAAUAAAAGUGGUGUUGAAACCUCUGAGAGUAUACAGAGGACAGGAACAAGAAGAAAAAAAGGAAGAAGGAAUGUCAGAGUAAUUGCUGAAUUCACAACCCACUCAAGUCCUGGAAAGGUUCUAGAGCAAAUGAUAGAGCAAAAACUUUCAACCACUGGAAUAUAACAGUGAUAAGAAGAGCAAGGAAAAGAACAGGAUAUGUCAGCUCAGUUUCUGUCUUUGAUGGAUUACUAGGUUCAGUAUGUAACAGGAGAGAAGUAGAUAUAUUUCAGCUUGAAUAAGAAUUUUGACAUGUACACACAACUAUAUAAAUAUCAAUGAAAGAAAUAGCUUAAAUGAAAACAUCACAAUGUUCACAACUGAGUGAAGAACACUAACUGGUGAUUUGCUGCUGAAACAGUUUCUACACAGGAACAGAUAUCUGAAAUAACCUUGAAGUAUUUGUACUGGAAAUUAUUUAUUUUAAUGAAAAUUAUAUUCAUUACAUUUCCAUUAGAAUGGAAAAGGAAAGGCGAAAUCUGUACAGAUAGCAAUCAAAUAAGGAGGUUCUGCCAGUUGAUUCAUGACCUGAUCCUGUACUCUAGGACUCUUGAGUAGUAUUGAAAUAUUGGAAUACAAUAA